UCCUCGUUAGUAUGGUGGUGAGUAUCCCCGCCUGUCACGCGGGAGACCGGGGGUUCGAUUCCCUGACGGGGAG
rnacentral:tRNA from 1 species